GACGAACGCUGGCGGCGUGCUUAACACAUGCAAGUCGAACGGAAAGGCCCUGCUUUUGUGGGGUGCUCGAGUGGCGAACGGGUGAGUAACACGUGAGUAACCUGCCCUUGACUUUGGGAUAACUUCAGGAAACUGGGGCUAAUACCGGAUAGGAGCUCCUGCUGCAUGGUGGGGGUUGGAAAGUUUCGGCGGUUGGGGAUGGACUCGCGGCUUAUCAGCUUGUUGGUGGGGUAGUGGCUUACCAAGGCUGGGACGGGUAGCCGGCCUGAGAGGGUGACCGGCCACACUGGGACUGAGAUACGGCCCAGACUCCUACGGGAGGCAGCAGUGGGGAAUAUUGCACAAUGGGCGGAAGCCUGAUGCAGCAACGCCGCGUGCGGGAUGACGGCCUUCGGGUUGUAAACCGCUUUCGCCUGUGACGAAGCGUGAGUGACGGUAAUGGGUAAAGAAGCACCGGCUAACUACGUG
rnacentral:rRNA from 1 species